CCUACGGGCGGCAGCAGUGGGGAAUAUUGGACAAUUUUUUUAACCCUUCUCCCUCUCCUCCUCUUUCUUGAAGAAGUAUUUCGGUAUGUAAAGCUCUAUCAGCAGGGAAGAAAAUGACGGUACCUGACUAAGAAGCCCCGGCUAACUACGUGCCAGCAGCCGCGGUAAUACGUAGGGGGCAAGCGUUAUCCGGAUUUACUGGGUGUAAAGGGAGCGUAGACGGUGCAGCAAGUCUGAUGUGAAAGGUCGGGGCCCAACCCCGGGACUGCAUUGGAAACUGUUGAACUGGAGUACAGGAGAGGUAAGCGGAAUUCCUAGUGUAGCGGUGAAAUGCGUAGAUAUUAGGAGGAACACCAGUGGCGAAGGCGGCUUACUGGACUGUAACUGACGUUGAGGCUCGAAAGCGUGGGGAGCAAACAGGAUUAGAUACCCUAGUAGUC
rnacentral:rRNA from 1 species